rnacentral:rRNA from 1 species
UCGGGUGCGGGUCUUUGGGCCAACCUCCCAUCCGUGUCUAUUGUACCCUGUUGCUUCGGCGGGCCCGCCGCUUGUCGGCCGCCGGGGGGGCGCCUCUGCCCCCCGGGCCCGUGCCCGCCGGAGACCCCAACACGAACACUGUCUGAAAGCGUGCAGUCUGAGUUGAUUGAAUGCAAUCAGUUAAAACUUUCAACAAUGGAUCUCUUGGUUCCGGCAUCGAUGAAGAACGCAGCGAAAUGCGAUAACUAAUGUGAAUUGCAGAAUUCAGUGAAUCAUCGAGUCUUUGAACGCACAUUGCGCCCCCUGGUAUUCCGGGGGGCAUGCCUGUCCGAGCGUCAUUGCUGCCCUCAAGCCCGGCUUGUGUGUUGGGUCGCCGUCCCCCUCUCCGGGGGGACGGGCCCGAAAGGCAGCGGCGGCACCGCGUCCGAUCCUCGAGCGUAUGGGGCUUUGUCACAUGCUCUGUAGGAUUGGCCGGCGCCUGCCGACGUUUUCCAACCAUUCUUUCCAGGUUGACCUCGGAUCAGGUAGGGAUACCCGCUGAACUUAAGCAUAU